UACGUAGGGGGCGAGCGUUGUCCGGAUUUAUUGGGCGUAAAGCGCUCGUAGGCGGUUUUGUAAGUUGGAUGUGAAAUCUCCAGGCUCAACUUGGAGUGGUCAUUCGAUACUGCCAUGACUAGAGUUCGGUAGGGGAGUGUGGAAUUCCUGGUGGAGCGGUGAAAUGCGUAGAUAUCGGGAGGAACACCGGUGGCGAAGGCGGCCUUCUGGACGGAUACUGACGCUGAGACGCGAAAGCGUGGGGAGCAAACAGG
rnacentral:rRNA from 1 species